rnacentral:lncRNA from 1 species
AUGGGCAACAAAUGCUCUUUAAACAGGCACGGGCUUGGGGCUAAACAUUUAACUGAUGAUGUAGUCCAGCCUUCACCUCUCCCCCCCCUCCCUUUACUGCUGCAUUGGAGUUACAAGCUGGUUUGCAGAUGCCCCCCUUCCAUGCUGCACUGGAGGGGAACACGUCUGCAGCCCCCCCUCUCCCCACUGCUGCACCGGGGGACCCGUCUGCAGCUGCCCCCCCCACCCCGUCCUCCCUGCUGCAAUGGGGGACGGGGUGCUCGGUGCUGCAGGAGCCGGAGCGGGGAGGGGGGGGGGGACGAGGCUCUGCAGCCCGGCAGCCGCCGAGUGUCGGGCUCCCUCUGCGGCACCCCUUCUCCCGCCGCACCCCCCCGAAACUACGCGGCUCUCCCCAAAAAGGGGUCACGGAGACGAACGGGGGUCCCCACAGCUCCCCUCAGGCAAAGGCGGGGAGGGGCAGGGAGAGGCAGGCGCCCCCUCCCCCUCCCGGCUCCAAGGACAUUUUGUUUUUCCUCCCAAGGACAAAGGACAAUGAGAAACGAGGAGACUCAGGCACUUACCCGGCGAAGAGCAGCCCGUCGGCAGGCACCGGGGGCCCUGAGAACGGGGCACUGCUCCCCUCCUCGCCCUGCCCGCGGUGAAGGGCGGCCCCGCGCCCGCCCGGCGAGGGAGACGCGCGGGCAGAGCUCCGCAGCCCGGCGCCAUUGCCCUCCGCCCGUCGGCAGCCCCGCACAGCAGCCAGGCUCGCUGCCCUCCUCCGUAGCCCCGCAACCCCCCUCAGAGCGCCGGGCCCAACUCGGCCCCCGACACCGGCACCCAGGGGCGGCUCGCCGGGCGUCCCCGCUCCGAGCGGCGGGGAAAGCGCCCGGGAGCCCGGCUGCAGCUGAGGCUGCGGCUGCUUCCCCGGCCAUCUUGUGCCGUGUGUGUGAGAGACUCUCUCCCGUCUCCUCUCAACUCCUUCCUCCCCUCCCCCCCGCACAACAUGGCCGCCCGCUCACACCUCGGCAUUCCCAUUGGCUCCUGUUCGCCUCCUCGCGCCCCCGACCCGCCCCGCCGCGGGCUUGCGCCCCGUCCGCACCAGCCUCCCCUCAGGGGGAAGAGGGCGGCGGGGAGUCGGGAGCAGGCUCGGAGCGCCCGCCCCGCCGGCGGGCCUGAGCCCUGCUGCCGGCCCCUCCUCAGCUCCACCCCGCCUCAUCGCAGCCGUGACCCUGCUCGGUCCGAGCACCGCCUUCUCUCCAAGCCCAAGCUUCAGAAAUCUCUUCAGAGCUCAGCCUGCCC